GGGCAGUUUAACAUGUCUUUUAUGUAUUAUAAUACUCGCAGGAUGUACCCCGGUGCCCUGACUGAUUCUAAAACAAGCCGAGGGUAUAUAAACCCAAAAGGUGUACGUGCAUAUAUGUUUUUCUUAAUGAGAGGUUGGAUUCCACAUUUCACUUUGGAGAGAAAUUCCCUCAAGCGUGUAAUCCUGAAAAAUGCAAAUGACAGCAAAAGUGCAUAUUCAUAGAACGAAAAUGGAGUCCUCAUCUUUCCUAAUAACACUGUGGGGGGCCUUUUGUGGAUUUCUUUGAGCAUAUUUACACUGAGUAGGAGGGACUUUCAGGGUUAGAAGGUGGUUUGUACAUGCUCUAAACCACAAAGAGACACUGUUAUUGAAUAAAUUAUGACUUUUUUUUUUCUAAAUGUAUGAUUAAUAUGUCAUCCUUGCAACUCGGUUAUCUUCACAGCGAACCAUCUUUGUGAAGCUGUAUUCCCGCAUGCAACACCAGCUACGAAGAGAACGUGUGAGCAGAGAGACAGGAGGGGGAAGAGAAAUGGGAAUGAGGUAAAAGUGCUGAGAGAUUGUCAGGAAAACACCAAGGGAGGGCUGCACAGAAAAGCCUCAAAGUGGAAGUUGUAACUCUGCAAUGGCGCGACUCCGAGCUGCUGGUGUCGGCCUCCCCGGGGUGACAGAGAGGUCUGCAGAGAGUGAACCAAUCCAGCCAUCCAUGGCAAGAGAACAAGAAGAAUUAAGAGAGCAAUGCAUCAUAGCUGUAGCAACCAGUGAUGUGAAGCAGACUGUAUUUAUUGACUCAUUGACUGUAUUGAUUGUCUCAAUUGAUGAAAAGUUCAGAGACAAAGCACAGACACACAGUGAGUUAUGCAAAACAAAAAAUAAUAAGGUGAUGGGUUAUGGUGCUUCAGUGCUUGGGCAAAUGGCUAAUUUCACAGCAAAACCCUGUUGAUCAUGCCUUUGCUAAUAAACUUCAUGUUACACCACA